rnacentral:lncRNA from 1 species
AAAGCCGCCGCCGGUAAGCCAGUGCUGACCCUUUGUUAUGCCUAAUGCGGCUUGCCGCUGCCGGGUAGCUGAUGCAGGACCGGCAUCCUAUUUUAUGUUGGCUUUCCGCCAUCGGCCGAAGAGCGAUAAAACACUUCGUCGCCAAUGCAAUUUUAAAUGGGCAUGCCAGCUUCGGUAAGUUCAUCACGAUACGCUGUAGCUUUGCCCACACAAUGCCAAAGUGGGCUUUUGGAUGGCGGUAAGCUGUCGUAAAAAACAUCAAAAGCAAGCGUUUCAUGCGCCAUGAGACUUUGAUUGGUCGAUAUCGAUAUAUAGUGAUUUAUGGUUUUAUUUUAUUAGUGUUUAUUAAAUACUAAGAGGUUUAGUUGCUUUUGUCUCCAUGUUGUCCAAGGGUUAUGUCGGCCAUGAUCCUAAUAUUAUCAUGGGUUUAGCAGAGUUGUUUAACUUGCAAACUGGAUUGAAGAUUUUGAAUAAAUUUUUGUGUUCUUAAUAUGGUCAUAAGUUUGUACUUGUUUAAAACCCUAAAUCAUUUGAAAAUUAUGGCGCCGACAUGGUAGAUGUCCUAGAAAAAACUGGUAGUAACUCAAUGUAGAUACACAUAGUCGAUGGAGUUACUUGCUAAUAACUGGCAAUGAGACAUAUUUGCUUCAAAUGAUGCCUUUAAAGUUUGAAAAGAUUUUUUUAAAUUCAAAUGUCGACUUUUUGUUACAUGAAAAAAGAUACUUAUUUCAACCCCUCGACUAUAUUGAUGCACUUAGUAUGUGGAGUUACUUGUCAAUAGCUGGCGAUGAAACUUUUAAACGUAACGUCUUUAAGGGCUGAGAAAGUUAGUUUGUUUCGUUAUAAUAGCUCUAAACUGAAAUGUUUCAAUAUUUUGAUUGGAUACUGUUGUCUGCUUUUAGGUAAAAAUUAGAAAUCUGCAGACUGCAACGUAAAUCGAUUUCAACACGUUAUGGCUUCUCGGAUAUAUUUAGUUUCCGAUUGAAAUGAGAAUAAACUGAACUUAUAUAUAAAGUGUUUACAAUUAACUUUUUAAACUAGAAAUACUCCAAAGGAGGUUCUCCAAACGCAAGUUAAGCAAAGUCGAUAGAUGUUAAUAUCUUUUAUAUUAUGUUUUAGAUAUUAAAAAAAAUUUGUGACUUUAAUAUUUAUGUUAUAAUUGUAAAUUGCAAUCUUAAAAGGAUUUUAUUAUUACUUCA